GACGAACGCUGGCGGCAUGCCUAAUACAUGCAAGUCGAGCGGACUUGAUGGAGAAGCUUGCUUCUUCUGAAGGUUAGCGGCGGACGGGUGAGUAACACGUAGGCAACCUGCCUUUCAGUUUGGGAUAACUUCCGGAAACGGAUGCUAAUACCGAAUACAUCAUCUUCUGGCAUCAGAGGAUGAGGAAAGACGGCGCAAGCUGUCAAUGAGAGAUGGGCCUGCGGCGCAUUAGCUAGUUGGUGGGGUAAUGGCUCACCAAGGCGACGAUGCGUAGCCGACCUGAGAGGGUGAACGGCCACACUGGGACUGAGACACGGCCCAGACUCCUACGGGAGGCAGCAGUAGGGAAUCUUCCACAAUGGGCGAAAGCCUGAUGGAGCAAUGCCGCGUGAGUGAUGAAGGUUUUCGGAUCGUAAAGCUCUGUUGCCAGGGAAGAACGUCCAGGUGAGUAACUGCACCUGGAGUGACGGUACCUGAGAAGAAAGCCCCGGCUAACUACGUGCCAGCAGCCGCGGUAAUAC
rnacentral:rRNA from 1 species